rnacentral:tRNA from 1 species
GGAGAGGUGCCAGAGCGGCCGAAUGGGGCGCCCUGCUAAGGCGUUGAUCGCAGUGAUGUGGUCCGUGGGUUCAAAUCCCACCCUCUCCGCCA